CUUAAAAGUUACGGUUUAUUUUAUUGGCCACCCACAAAAUUCCACGAAUACCUAUAUAAGCUAGAUACGAUGUUUGCUAGCCAUAGUUUUCAAGUACCAGUUUAGCUGAAAACAGUUGGUAAAAGAUGAAAUACCUGCAGGUUUUUAUUUUGGGGCUGCUUUUAAUUGUAUGCAUUGACUAUAGCGAGUGCCUUCUGCCGCCACCGAAGUAUGACCCACAGGACUUGGUGGGCUGUGUACCAGGGUCCUACGUACAAAGUCAUUACUACCACAUCGCCUGUUUGUGCAUCAGCCCCGGAGUUGCAGACGAGAAUAAAUGCCUCGAUACCUAUUCAGUAUAGGUCUUACACUUACUAGCAUAGAGAAAUAUAAGUAACGAAAGAGUGCUAACUCCAUACAUCAGUUUUCUUACCAAAACGCGGGUUAUUUCGUAGUCGGCAUUAGGGUUGCAAAUAGAAAAAAAUCAAAUGUUUUUUUUCAAAUUUUUGAAAAAAAAAACAUGAAAAAAAACCUGGCACCAUGGUUUUUUAUUCAGAUGAACAAAAAUAUGCCACAAUAACGGUUUUUCGUGAUUUAUUUAUAUAAGUAACUUAAAACUAAGUAAUUUUUGUGGAAUCCCUGAAUUCCCCGAUGCGGCGACGAGAGGCGUUGGUGUUGCCAACAGUAAAUUGCGAUAACUACCACUACAGAUUUCAUUUAUGUUGUUAUUAAUCAAAGUUGUUAAAUUAAAGUCUAAAACAAGUAAAACAACCGUAUAAAAGUAUUAACCGCCUUGCAAAUUUUGAGUUUUUAUACUUUUGAAAAAAAACGGUUUUUUUCACGGUUUUUUUUUCAUGUUUUUUUUUUCAAGUCAGAAAAAAAAACCGUUUUUUUACAACCCUAGUCGGCAUCUAGUAGUGAGGGAAGUAGUGUCACCCAAUGUAUGGGACGUGCAAAUUUUGGUAUCGGAUGAAUUCACUUGGCACAGAUGAAGUAUACGUAAAGCUAAGCCAAUCCAGCAGUGGGUUGGCAGGGGGGCAUCCAAAGUUACACGCCUUCUAUCGGCUUCUAUUUACCUACCACCUCGAGUUUGGUAUCAUUUCCAGAUAAAUCGGGCAUGAGGAAUUCAUAUUUGAGACAUUUAAUGUACAGUUUAAUAGAAAAAAAUAAAAAUAUUGACGCUCAAAUAAAAAUCGGUUUGCUAUUUUUUUUAUUCAACUAUUACUAUUAUCCGCCGAAACUACAAAUGCUAGAAAGUUGAAAUUUGCACACCAGGUUAUAUUUAUAAUCUGUACAAGAGAUAAGAAGCGAUUUUGAAAAAUUCAACCCCUAAUACAAGAAAAGUAAUUUCAGCGUUUUUAAAAAUUCAUCCUCUAACGGGGUUAAAAAGGAGUUGAAAGCUUAAAUCCAUUACAAAUUACUUUGACUGCCCCCCCUGCCUUCCUGCCAGGGGGUGGCGGAUGUCUACCGGGCUCAAUUAGCUUAGCUUUACGUAUAUUACAUCUGUGCUAAGUGAAUUCAUCCGAUACCAAAAUUUGCACCUUAUGACACUACUUCCCGUACUAUAGCGUCAAGUAGCGGUUAUCAGUACUAUUUGACACCAGUACGGUUACCAUCAGUUUGUCACUGACAUAAACGCCGUCGAGAACGUAAUUUACUUUCUAUACAUCUCGCUCGCACUCGCAUAUUAGUGCAAACGGGAUGUAUAGAAAGUAAAUUACGUUCUCGACGGCGUUUAUGUCAGUGAGAAACUGAUGGUAACCGUACAGAUGCCACGAGUGUGUUGCUAAAAAUGUAUUGCUAAAACAAUUUACAACUAAUAUUACAAGCAGAGUUGAAAAUAGAGUUCCGGUUAAUCCGGUAUAACCGGUAUAACCAAUAUCAGCUGAAAAUUGUUGAGCAUUAGACUUUUCGUUCAUCGCGACAUCUAUUGUCAAGGAGCAGUACGGAUAAAUACGCUAGUUGACGCUAGAUGUCGAGUACGAAAAUAAAAAGCGUUUUGGUAAGAAAACUAAUGUAUAUAGUUAGCACUCUAUGCGUACUUAUUUCUGUAUGGUCUUAGUAGACUUCCUAGGUCUGCUACGGGAAGCGGCCCUGCUUGGAAAAGAAAGAAAAUACAUUUAUUUAACGUCAUAGCAUAGGACAUGUAGGUCAUAGUCAUAGCUAAUACCAUGUUGCCUGGCCUGCCUGCCAAAAUUUUUCCUAUAAUAGGGAGUAUUACUGCAAUGUUCUGCGGCCAGAGUGCAACACUAAACUAGCUAGUAAACCAUAGAGUAACUUA